UAGCUCUAAAUCACAGCCUUCUCCACCCGAUAGACCAAUACAUCAUUCACAGCAGUAAGGCUGCAGUCUGUCUGGAUUUCUCACUUACCUUGAGCUCUGUUAAGUGCAGCAGAAUGCGUCUUCGUCCCCUCUACAGACUCCUGAGGCAUUACAUGGUUGCUUUCUGCAAGUGUAGGUCCGGAAAACUUCAGUGUGUAGAUGCGAGGUUUGAAACUGACUGACUGACUGGAUGUGCAACAAACUGUGUUCUUAUGCUGUGGUGAACGGAGCAUAGAACAUGGAACAUGGAACAUGGAGACAUCAUGAUGUAACGUCUCUAUGGUUACAGUGACGGUACAAUAUGCAAAUGAGCCUUUAGAGUAAAUGUGUGUGUGUGGACGGUGUAUUUGUAUUGAUAGAGCUCAUCCACUUGACAUGGUGCAUAAAACACUUUGCUCUACUUGUUUUUUUCUAUGACCCCAUCUUGAUCUUGAUAGCAAACACUUUAAGAAUAAAUAAAGAACGAUUUUUGUCCAUUGUUUCAUCAAGUCGGAAAUUUGUAAACUGUUGAAUCCGGAUUUUUAAACAUCCCUUUUAAGCCCUCUUGUCUCCAGCCUUCAUGCUAAGCUAACCAGCGGCUGGCUUUAGCUUCACGUUGAGCGCGCAUGAGAGUAGGGAUGAGUAUCGUUUGGGUUUUUCCGAUACCGAUCCUAAACAGAGCCUGAACCCAAACACAAUUGAAGAAAAGUUUUUUUUCACUUCAAACUAUGCACAACAUAUGAACUUUUGAAAGUUUACAGUAUGAUUACAGUGUUUCCCCUCUGUAACAGCGGAAGUGUAGUUAAUUGGAAUUUGGGGAAUAUUAAUAAUUUAAUUUGAGAUUCAUGUUCAUUGUGCAGGAACUAAAGACAUUUAUUGAAAAGCAUUUACGUUAGAUUGACGCUCCUUGUUUGUCUCAAAGUAUUGACGUGCAACACAGAAGAGCUGCAGGAGGCACGAGAGCACAUCGCUUUUCUAUUGUGUAGAAAAAUACAUACGAAUAGAAGGUAGAUGGCUAGCUAGCUGCUGUAGCUACACAAGCGGUGAGCUAUCGUUAGCUGCUGCGAGGACAGAGUUAUCAGACUGUUUAAUUAGGGUGACCAAGCGUCCUCUUUUCCCCGGACAUGUCCUCUUUUUGAGACCUUAAAAAUGCGUCCGGCAGAGAUUCCAAAAACGUCCGGGAUUUUGCUUCGUCGUAUAUUUGUGUUUCUCUGGGUCUUUCACAAACUAGUUAUUACGCCCUUACCAGUUUUGGAAAUGGUGUCUCGCUUACGUUCCACCUUCUUUCGCGAGCUCUGACUGUAGAGAAAACAGUCAUUGGUCGACCGAUCUCAAUGUUGCCA
ensembl:lncRNA